AGCAGUCGCCGCGGUAACACGAAGGGUGCAAGCGUUACUCGGAAUUACUGGGCGUAAAGCGUGCGUAGGUGGUGGUUUAAGUCCGUUGUGAAAGCCCUGGGCUCAACCUGGGAAUUGCAGUGGAUACUGGGUCACUAGAGUGUGGUAGAGGAUAGUGGAAUUUCCGGUGUAGCAGUGAAAUGCGUAGAGAUCGGAAGGAACAUCUGUGGCGAAGGCGACUAUCUGGGCCAACACUGACACUGAGGCACGAAAGCGUGGGGAGCAAACAGGAUUAGAUACCCCUGUAGUCCCUGUCUCUUAUAC
rnacentral:rRNA from 1 species